UGGAGAGCACACCUUGUUAUUUAUUUAUUUUUUAAGUGUAUCGCUAGAUCAACAAACUGAACAGCACGCCGCUUCUUAUAAUGGACUGCUUCGCGAUCAUAACCUGUGUCCGUGCUGUGAUGGUAAACGUGAACAAGGGAGGAAACAUUUCCCUCUUCGUCAGAACAUCUCAGCCGAAGACUUUUUGUCUACGAAAAGUACAAAAAAACGAGACCCAAGAGAUCUCCUGCUAUUGUUCCCCCGAAGAGCAAAAGCUUGGCUGCAAACCAAGCAACUCGAGUAGAUUUUCACACCACGUUGGUGAUGAGAACUUGUCCAUAACUUUUCCUGAUGCCGACACCAGCGACGAAGGGUGUUACGUUGUCGAAGUUAUCGAUAACAAAAACAAAAUGAUUCCACUUUGUUAUUCCGUUUCAUUGACCGAACAACUGCCCAGUUCCAUUAACCCUGAACCUCCAUCCAUCCAUUUACCACACCUGCUUUAUCCACCAAAGCAGGAGAGACAUUCGGGACAAAUGGACCAGUCAGCACAGAACGAUAUCACAAAAUAACAUGGGGCAUCAUAGGGGGCCUUAUACCGCUCAUACUGGUCAUUGUUGUCACUGGUAUCAUCUGCUGU